ACGACCUUACUUGAACAGGAUCUGUUCUAUAGGCUCGUACAACUGUUACUUCGAGUACGAAGCAGACAGGCAACAUAAUCUGGUUGAUGACACAAGACCUCAGAAUCAGAGCGUGAUUAAUGGCUAAGAUCGUACGAUUGAGGCCGCAGAGGAUCGUUCUCAGCUGGUCCUCAGACCAGAUGGGGUGAUUCUGGGGUUGUCUGACAGACC
rfam:Musa acuminata subsp. malaccensis Doubled-haploid Pahang (DH-Pahang) genomic chromosome, chr6